AAGCACAGGAAGCCUGCUGGAGAGUCAGAAGUUGGCCAUGGUGCAACAGGAGCUCUCACAGGAGAUAAGGUGGGAACAAGGAAAAGAACAAAGUGGGUGUUUUGCAACCACAGUCGGCGAGGACAAGCUCUGAGAAGCAUCUGUGCCAAAACUCUGUGUAAGGACAUGGCACAGGAUUUGACUUACAUUCAAGCUACCUGCUGAGGAGGCUGAGGAAAAAAUAGCCAAACCAAAGACUGCAAAUUCACUGGGCUGAAGUGGCAUUCUCUUAAGUGCUCAGGAUGAGGAACCAGGAUGAAACAAUUCAAUUACUUAAUUGUAGCAGGUUCACCUGAAUCUCAUCUCCAUCCAAGCUGCACCACAGGCUGAUCACUGGCUUUGGGUUUAGUGCAAACCCAGGAGUCUCGUGGGAACCAACACCGCAGGAUGGGAAAAUAUCCCUUAACCUCUCUGCUGUGCAGUCACUGAGGCGUGGAAGCAAAU
ensembl:lncRNA